rnacentral:rRNA from 1 species
AUGGGCGAAAGCCUGACGCAGCCAUGCCGCGUGUGUGAAGAAGGCCUUCGGGUUGUAAAGCACUUUCACUUGGGAAGAAAGGGUGCGUGUUAAUAGCACGUAUCUGUGACAUUACCUUGAGAAGAAGCACCGGCUAACUCCGUGCCAGCAGCCGCGGUAAUACGGAGGGUGCAAGCGUUGUCCGGAAUCAUUGGGUGUAAAGGGUGCG